rnacentral:rRNA from 1 species
AAAUUGAAGAGUUUGAUCAUGGCUCAGAUUGAACGCUGGCGGCAGGCCUAACACAUGCAAGUCGAACGGUAACAGGAAGCAGCUUGCUGCUUCGCUGACGAGUGGCGGACGGGUGAGUAAUGUCUGGGAAACUGCCUAAUGGAGGGGGAUAACUACUGGAAACGGUGGCUAAUACCGCAUAACGUCGCAAGACCAAAGAGGGGGACCUUCGGGCCUCUUGCCAUCAGAUGUGCCCAGAUGGGAUUAGCUAGUUGGUGAGGUAACGGCUCACCAAGGCGACGAUCCCUAGCUGGUCUGAGAGGAUGACCAGCCACACUGGAACUGAGACACGGUCCAGACUCCUACGGGAGGCAGCAGUGGGGAAUAUUGCACAAUGGGCGCAAGCCUGAUGCAGCCAUGCCGCGUGUAUGAAGAAGGCCUUCGGGUUGUAAAGUACUUUCAGCGGGGAGGAAGGUGUUGUGGUUAAUAACCGCAGCAAUUGACGUUACCCGCAGAAGAAGCACCGGCUAACUCCGU